rfam:Clostridium perfringens str. 13 DNA, complete genome.
GUAAUAUUUCUUAAGUAAAUAUUUAUUUUUAUUAAGCAAGGGGUGAUUUUUUUGAAACAUACAAAAAGGAUUUUAACAAGUGCAAUUUUAAUUACAUUAAUAACUCUUUUUUCUCCCUUAAUACUUAAAAAUAGCAUAGCUUUAUAUAUUGAACAAAGAGUAUCUUAUUUUACAUCUUUAGAAGUUGUUUCAAAUAUUAUAAGUCCCAUACUUGCUUUAAUAUCAAUAUUUUCAAUUGCAUAUUCCAUAAUUGUAAUUAAAAAUAAAUAAUUACUUAUUAAUGAUUUUACUUUAAUUUAGUAAAAAACCUUACAUAAAAUUACCACCAUAACUAUUGAUCCUAGAAAUAGAACUGUCCACUCUAUUUUUAGGAUUUUUAUUUUUUUCUUCUUUAUGU